UACGUAGGUGACAAGCGUUGUCCGGAUUUACUGGGCGUAAAGAGCGCGCAGGCGGUCGUUCAAGUCGCGUGUGAAAGCCCCCGGCUCAACUGGGGAGGGUCAUUCGAUACUGAUCGACUCGAAGGCAGGAGAGGGAAGUGGAAUUCCCGGUGUAGUGGUGAAAUGCGUAGAUAUCGGGAGGAACACCAGUGGCGAAGGCGACUUCCUGGCCUGUUCUUGACGCUGAGGCGCGAAAGCUAGGGGAGCAAACGGG
rnacentral:rRNA from 1 species